GGAAAACGCGCUGAGAACACCACGGCCAGAGCUUCUGAAAUCCCAGAUUCCCCUGCAGCCCAUGUUGUGCUCUGAUUACCCCACAGUGACUAUGGUCAGGCAGAACCACAGGAUGAAAGUAGCUGGAUCCCUGAGACACCACAUGGAGGACAGCCCUGGAGAGUAGCCCAACCCCAUAUAUGAUGGGCAAUCAGCCCUCACGCGUCUUCACCCCUCUAAAUUGCAUCUUGAAACAUUGGGACAAAUCUGAUCCUCAGACUUUGAAGAAGCGGCGUCUGGUUUUCUUUUGCUCCGAGGUUUGGCCUCAAUACAAGCUGGAAGAUGGGGAAAGUUGGCCUUCUGAGGGAAGUACUAACUAUAAUACUAUAAUGCAAUUAGAUCUAUUUUGUAAGCGGGAAGGCAAAUGGUCAGAAGUUCCUUAUGUAUAGGCUUUUUCACCCUAAGGGACAACCCAGAUCUCUGUAAGAAAUGUAGAGUUGACUUGGCUCUUUUGGCUGUGAGCUCUUGCAUCCCUACUCCUAGGGAGACUCUUUUUAAGGAGACUCUCCCUAAGGAGACCCCUCUUAAAGGGACUCCUUCAAAGAAACCCCCAGCGGGAUCCUCCUCUCCUGAGGAGGUCCCUUUAAUAAACACCCAGUCAAGGGAUCAUCCCAAAGCUCUAUACCCUACUGUUCCUCUGGAGCCGGCUCCUACCCCAGCUCCGUCUUGUUGCGCUACAUAUCCGGGACCUCCUGUACAAAGGCGCUCCCAACUAAGAACAAAUCUCCUUCCCUUACAGGUGAUGCCAGGAGAAUUUGGGCCUGUCAGGGUUCAAGUCCCUUUCUCCCUACGGGAUCUCAGACAAAUAAAGGGGGACCUAGGGAAGUUUUCAGAUGACCCUGACAAAUAAAUAAAAGCCUUCCAGAACAUAACCCAGGUCUUUGACCUUUCUUGGAAGGAUGUUACUUUUAAAUCAGACUCUCACUAACUCUGAAAAGCAGGCAGCUUUAUAAGCAGCCGAAAAAUUUGGGGAUGAUCAGUUCCUGGAAUAUCAUGAUGAACAAACAGAACGAGACCCCACUCUGGAGCGCUUCCGUACAGGAGAGCAAGCAGUACCCGCUACAGAUCCACAGUGGGACCCUGAUAAAGCUAUGGGAAACUAGCAGAGAAAACACAUUCUGGCAUGCAUUUUAGAGGGUCUGAGGAGAACUAGGACUAAGCCCAUCAAUUAUUCCAAACUAUCUACCGUUAGCCAGAAUUCAGAAGAAAAUCCCUCAGCCAUGUUAGAAAGACUCAGGGAGGCCCUAAUCAAGUUCACUCCUAUCGGGCCAGACUCCCUUGAAGCAGAAACCCUUUUAAAGGAUAGGUUUAUAACUCAGACUGCCCCAGGUAUCUGCAGGAAAUUACAGAAAUUGGCCAUUGGUCCCAAAGGCACCUUGGAUCAGUUACUCAGGGCAGCCAACAUUGUCUUUUACAGUUGGGACCAGGAGGAAGCCCAGGACAAGGAGAGGAGAAUAAGAAAAAAGACGGAGGGCUGGCCCAGUGGUUCAGGCAGUUAGAGCUCCGUGCUCCUAACUCUGAAGGCUGCCGGUUUGAUUCCCACAUGGGCCAGUG